CGUUAAUAACUUUGUCGCGAUGCCUCUACCUCUAUAUGCUGCAAAUGUCGCAAUUGUUUCUAUAUAAUACUCAUCGUCUUUAGCUUCUUUUACAGGUAAUGGCGUGCCAUAUUGUUUUAUUUCUUCUGGCAAGUCAAGUAGUUCCCAUGCUUUUUCGUAUUUCAAUUCAUUUUCACCACUAUAGCUAAUAAUACA
rnacentral:sRNA from 1 species